rnacentral:misc_RNA from 1 species
GAUGAAGACGCAGCGAAAUGCGAUAAGUAAUGUGAAUUGCAGAAUUCAGUGAAUCAUCGAAUCUUUGAACGCACCUUGCACCCUUUGGCUAUUCCGAAGGGUAUGCCUGUUUGAGUAUCAUGAACACCUCAACUCUCAUGGUUUGCCAUGAUGAGCUUGGACUUUGGGGGUCUUGCUGGCCUGUGGUCAGCUCCUCUCAAAUGGAUUAGCUUGCCAGUGUUUGGUGGCAUCACAGGUGUGAUAACUAUCUACGCUUGUGGUUUUCCACCAGGUAACCUUCAGCAAUGGGGGUUCGCUGGGGCUCAUAAAUGUCUCUCCUCAGCGAGGACAGCUCUUUGAACGUUUGAUCUCAAAUCAGGUAGGACUACCCGCUGAACUUAAGCAUAUCAAUAAGCGGAGGA